CUUGAACACACACCUCAGCUGGUAAUACAGCAGGAAUCACGUAGUCCUCCCUCAUACAUUGAGAGGGCCGGAUCUUUACAAAGAUUUCCUCAGAUUUCAUCUGAGUUAGUCCACAUAACAUGGAAUGACGAAGGCAGGUAGAUAUCAUCUCUGUUUUGAAGACCAAGAAACUGAGAACCAAAAGGAUAAAGUGAAUUGCGAAUCUGAGAUAGAGCCAGAACUAUAAUCGGACUUAAUUCCCAGGACACCCAGAGGUAGGACGCCUUCCAAGGAGAGCACUCAGGUGUCUCCCUUAAGAGCAUCACCUCAGCAAAUCACUUGCACAAGAACCCCAUCACAGGCUCUGUUCUGAGGGAUUCUGACCCAAGAUAGCAUCCUCAAGAAGUUCCUUUUGUAUAGGCCUAUUAUAUAUGACUCUCCCCAUUUUCACCUGAAACUUUUGAUUUCCUCCUUCAUUUUGAAAGGUAGCUUUUCAAGAUGCCCAGCUGCUGUGUUGAGAAGAGACCGGGAAGACACAGGGCUGCCGGUUGGGAGACUAUGGCAAUGAUCCUGGCAGGAGAGGAUGGUGGCCCAGGGCCAGCAGUGGAGAUGGCCAAGCAACAUCAGUAAUCCAG
rnacentral:lncRNA from 1 species